UACAGAGGGUGCGAGCGUUGUUCGGAAUUAUUGGGCGUAAAGAGCUCGUAGGCGGCCUGUUGCGUCCGCUGUGAAAUCCCGGGGCUCAACCCCGGGCGUGCAGUGGAUACGGGCUGGCUGGAGGCAGGCAGGGGAGAACGGAAUUCCUGGUGUAGCGGUGAAAUGCGCAGAUAUCAGGAGGAACACCGGUGGCGAAGGCGGUUCUCUGGGCCUGUACUGACGCUGAGGAGCGAAAGCGUGGGGAGCGAACAGG
rnacentral:rRNA from 1 species